AACGAACGCUGGCGGCAGGCCUAACACAUGCAAGUCGAGCGAAGCCUUCGGGCUUAGCGGCGGACGGGUGAGUAACGCGUGGGAACGUGCCCUUUGGUACGGAAUAGCCCCGGGAAACUGGGAGUAAUACCGUAUGUGGUCGAGAGACGAAAGAUUUAUCGCCGAAGGAUCGGCCCGCGUUGGAUUAGGUAGUUGGUGGGGUAAUGGCCUACCAAGCCGACGAUCCAUAGCUGGUUUGAGAGGAUGAUCAGCCACACUGGGACUGGGACACGGAGCCGAAUCCUACGGGUGGCAGCAGUGGUGAAUCUUGGACAAUGGGGGAAACCCUGAUCUAGCCAUGCCGCGUGAUCGAUGAAGGCCUUAGGGUUGUAAAGAUCUUUCAGUGGGGAAGAUAAUGACUGUACCCACAGAAGAAGCCCCGGCUAACUCCGUGCCAGCCGCCGCGGUAAAAC
rnacentral:rRNA from 1 species